ACGUAGGGCGCAAGCGUUAUCCGGAAUUAUUGGGCGUAAAGAGCUCGUAGGCGGUUUGUCGCGUCUGCCGUGAAAGUCCGGGGCUUAACCCCGGAUCUGCGGUGGGUACGGGCAGACUAGAGUGCAGUAGGGGAGACUGGAAUUCCUGGUGUAGCGGUGAAAUGCGCAGAUAUCAGGAGGAACACCGAUGGCGAAGGCAGGUCUCUGGGCUGUAACUGACGCUGAGGAGCGAAAGCAUGGGGAGCGAACAGG
rnacentral:rRNA from 1 species